AAAAAUAGACGCGUUGUGACGGACAUAUCAAACAGGAAAAAAAUAGAUGAAAAAACGUUGAACCCCACACGCACGUUGCGACGUGUUAAGUCGGAAAUUUAGAACGACACGUUAAAUGAAGAACUUAUGAAAGAUGCAAACCUGUGUGUAAAACCGAGGAAAAAAUAACUAAGUCGAUCUCUAACUCGCACGCUGCGACAGACCUAUUAAACGGGGAAAAAUAGACGCGCUGCG
rnacentral:lncRNA from 1 species